rnacentral:ncRNA from 1 species
UUUGGUUCUAUUAUCAACAUCAUUGAUACUAGAUUAAAAGGGAAUUCGGUGAAAAUCCGAGACUGUUCCCGCAACUGUAAGUAUAUCCUUAAUUGUCACACUUAGCAUGUCGAAGUGUAUAUUCAGGAUCUCAUUUAAAAUGAGUAGUUAUGCUUCAAACCACUGGUUACUAUCAAAUAAGAUUUGAUACAAGCUGGGAAGGUUCAUAACAUAAUACGAGUCAGGAGACCUGCCCUAAAUC